AGGCCCGUAGCUCAACGGCAGAGCAGCACGCUUAUAUCGUGCGGGUUGCAGGUUCGAAUCCUGCCGGGCCUACCA
rnacentral:tRNA from 1 species